rnacentral:lncRNA from 1 species
AUUAAUACAUUUGUUCUGUUACAGUAUUGGCUAUAGGGCUAAUUAAUUACUGUACACUUUCAACUUCCCCUGCAGUACCGUAGAGUAUUUAUACAUAAAAUUCUAGCGUCAGAGUAUCUUUUUCUUCUAAUUUAAUUUCUAAAGUUCAUUAUCAAGCUCUACUGAUUUGCAUUUUGGACUUGUAUCUUUGGUAACAAAUUAUUGUGACAAUUCUUAUUGUAGUCUUACGUCCUGAAAAUUGACAUGUGAAAUCAGGCACACCACUAGUUCCAACCUUGAUCAUGUAACACGUGCCUAACUCUUGUAGAAGUCUUCAGAAAAUCCGUCAAAACUAUUGUCCUACACCGAACAUGACCUGACUAAUACUCUACCAGAGACCUUGUUCUUCUUUGACAGUCAUUGCUAAUGUUUGUGAUUAUAGGAGCUUUCUUUAAAGCCUCUGUUUAGUACCAUGUUCCCAUCUAUUUGGUUUAUGUAUCUAACCCCAAAUAAUUGGGACAUUAUGGCUUGGUGUUUUUGCACAUCCCUCAUAUGGUAGCCACAAAUAAUACUUGGUUUCUAUGGUGGCAUUAGUUUGCCCAUAGAUCUUGGCCUUUUAAAAUUUUUCUAGAAACAUCGGUGAUUGGUUUGAUUUAUUUUCCUUCAACAUUAUUAAUAUCUUGAGUUUUCCAUAGACUAGUUGAUGAAGCUGCUUUAUCUUGAUAUCAAAUGUAACUAAAAGCAAAGACUGUUCUAUUUUUUCGUUCUCCAAGAUAUCUCAAAUUUGCACUGAGUGUUGAAUAUGUGUAGUAAAUUUUAAUUGCAUAGUCAAAGAACCUAAGUUCUUAUAUAUGGUGAACCAGAUUGACUCAACCAGAUCGCUUUAUUUGUUCAUCAUUGUAAGAUUAUCAAUUUUUUAAACUAGCAAAAUCUUCAUGCACAUGGUGAUAUGGUGUAUGAAUAGAGCUAUGCAGAUAAAGAUGCCUCUUUUAUCUUGAUUAUGGAUCAUGAAAGAUUAUGUUUUCUUGAACUAGAUAUGGAUGUCUAGAUUGAGGGUAUAAGUGUCGUGGCAAGUUCCUGAUCGUAAUGGACUGGCAUGACUGGUUACUGUUCCACGGAUGUUCUGAACUGGAACCUGUCAACCCUAUUUCCUUUAGGAGGAACUUCAAAGUAAAUGUGAAAGAAAAAGAAAAAAAAAUGAUAGAUGGAAAAAAUAAUAUGCUUAAAGAGAUUAUUUUAAAUGAUUUUUUAGGUUAAUUUAAUACAUUGGAUAAAUUUAAAUAUCUAUAUAUUUGAAUUUCUGGGUGCAGAUAGAGCAGAACAUGAUGCCAUAUCUGUAUCUUAAAGAUCUCAGCAAAAUUUGGAUAUGAAUAAAAGUAUUUGACAGACAACAAUUGUGUAACCAUAUCCUACUUAGCUUAGAGAAAUGGAUUUAGAUGAAUUUCAUAUCCAGUUUAGCCCCCCUAGUUCUAUUGCAGAAAAUAAUGAAUUUUCUGUUAGAUUUCUGCUUCUGCAGCAGUUGCUGUAGUAAUCAAGUUUUAGUUUAAUUCCUCAUUCUGCAGUCAAGAAUCUUCAGAUAUUUUCAAGAAGGAUUAAACCUAGUCAGUUAAUAGCUGAGACUACCUUGAGCUAAUGAGUUACAGUAGAAGAUUCGACCUCAUAAGACAGUCUCCUUUUCAUAGGCCUUGAGUAGAAAUAUGUUCUUGGCUCAAAAGGAUCUUCCUUGUGACAAAGCCAACAUGUCUGGACUCAUAAAAGUCAUAUUUUUGUUUGCUGAAACUUUGCAGCAUAUGCAUAGACUAUAUGCAGAGACCGGUACGGCAUGUGCACUGAUGUGAGCAUGUGAACCCUGGAAUUCUCAAGUUUGUAUUUUACCUUUACUGUAUCCACCGUAUUUGCAUGUCCAUGAUCAUCAUAUGCAUUCUCUUAAAACCAGAACACUGUAAUUUCUCUAGCUAUUCCGUUUCUGCAUUGUUAAACAACUACAUUCACCUCACCAAUUUUGGCGUUUUUUAUGAUGACAAAAUUUCUUUAUUUGGUUUGCUCACGUUGUUUUUGUUGGCGCUUCAAG